UCCCGGGCUGCGCCGGCCGGGGACGCGCGGCCGCCCCCCCAGGCGGCCCGGCCGCUGCAGGGCAGAUGCCAGCGCCGGGCGAAGGGAGCAGCGGCUGUGUCUCCUGCUCCGCUCCCCCCGCCCCCGAUCCGGGAGGCGGGGGCUGGGGAGCACCCCUCCCUCCCGGGCAGCCCCUCCCCGCCGGCACGGAGAGAGGAACCGGCGAGAGGACUGUUUGCUGGACCCAUCAGCAGCUGGGAGAGUAAUCAACCACACUGGAAAUGUCUGCCAUUGGGGGGGAGGGGUGGAAUGUAGAUGUUUGAAACAAACGUGUAUAAAUAAAUGAAUUGUUGACCUGAAAGAAAGUCCAUGUCCUGGAGCUGGGGGUUUCUGUAGGCACUUUAUUUCUCCACUUUCAAAAGCUUGGGCUGGGCCCACCUCUGAGGCUUCCCAAUCCUGUUUCUAUGACCACGACCACGUUAAUCUAUGGCUUGAGCCUCUACAACAAAAAAACAAAUCCAUUCCCUAAAAAAAAAAAAAAAAGAAAGAAAGAAAAGAAAAAGAAAGAAAGAAAACACUUCUCAGAUGCCCUAACCAUUUUCUGGAUUUCUUUUCUGAUGCUGUCUAUAGAAAAUUUUGAACAUGCCCCCUUAAUAAAUAUAUUAAAAUUGAAAAAGAA